rnacentral:rRNA from 1 species
CAAUAGCGUAUACUAAUGUUGUUGCAGUUAAAAAGCUCGUAGUUGAACUUCUGGUAGGAGUGUCCCGGCCUUUUUGUUUUUACAAAUUGUAUGCUGUGUGACAUCUCUGGCCAUCCUCCUUCUUUGUUUAAAGAAGAUCUUUCACUGUAAAAAAAUUAGGGUGUUCAAAGCAAAAGUUUCUUUGGAAUAUAUUAGUAUGGGAUGAUAAGAUAGGCUCUAGAUGCUAUUUUGUUGGUUUGCACAUUUAGAGAAUGAUUAACAGGGACAGUUGGGGGUAUUCGUAUUUACAUGUCAGAGGUGAAAUUCUUGGAUUUUGGAAAGACGAACUACUGCGAAAGCAUUUACCAAGGAUGUUUUCAUUAA